rnacentral:rRNA from 1 species
GUCUACGGCCAUGCCUCCCUGAACACGCCCAGUCUCGUCUAAUCUCGGAAGCUAAGCAGGGUCGGGCCUGGUUAAUACUUGGAUGGGAGACCAUCUAGGAAGACCGGGUGCUGUAGGCG